rnacentral:rRNA from 1 species
GACGAACGCUGGCGGCGUGCCUAAUACAUGCAAGUCGAGCGAGUCUGCCUUGAAGAUCGGAGUGCUUGCACUCUGUGAAACAAGAUACAGGCUAGCGGCGGACGGGUGAGUAACACGUGGGUAACCUGCCCAAGAGAUCGGGAUAACACCUGGAAACAGAUGCUAAUACCGGAUAACAACAGAUGAUGCCUAUCAACUGUUUAAAAGAUGGUUCUGCUAUCACUCUUGGAUGGACCUGCGGUGCAUUAGCUAGUUGGUAGGGUAACGGCCUACCAAGGCGAUGAUGCAUAGCCGAGUUGAGAGACUGAUCGGCCACAUUGGGACUGAGACACGGCACAAACUCCUACGGGAGGCAGCAGUAGGGAAUCGUCCACAAUGGACGCAAGUCUGAUGGAGAAACGCCGCGUGAGUGAAGAAGGGUUUCGGCUCGUAAAGCUCUGUUGUUGGUGAAGAAGGACAGGGGUAGUAACUGACCUUUGUUUGACGGUAAUCAAUUAGAAAGUCACGGCUAACUACGUG